rnacentral:lncRNA from 10 species
UACAUUCUCAGUCAUCUUUUUUAACUUCUGCAUCGCCAAUCCAAUCACUAGCUAAUUCUUAUGGAUCUGUCCCCUCUUUUCCAUUCCCACUGGCUUCUUCCUAAUUAGGGACUCUUCAGCUCUUUUCUGAACAUCUCACUUUCAACUGCCUCCCUCUGCCAUUCCUUCCUACACAUCUCUUGAAGCCAGGGCAGUAAGUGAGGCCAAAGCAAAGGAGGCAGGACCAGGCAGGUACUUUGACCUUAAACACAGGGGUGAUGUGGUUUGGAUGUGUCCUCACCCAAAUCUCAUCUUGAAUUGUAGUUCCCACAAUUCCUACGUGUUAUGGGAGGGACCCAGUGGGAGAUCACUGAAUCAUGGGGGCAGGGCUUUCCCAUGACAUUCUCAUAAUAGUGAAUAAGUCUCAUGAGAUCUGAUGGUUUUUUAAAGGGAAGUUUUCCUGCACAAACUCUUCUCUUGACUGCCACCACGUGAGACAUCCUUUCACCUUCUGCCAUGAUUGUGAGACCUCUCAAGCCACAUGGAACUUUACAGGUUUGUGUGAGGCCCAACUUUCUUCAUCUACUUCAACCAAAACAAUGUAUCAUCUCAGACUGGGUGCAGAAGCAGCUAUGGAACCACAGCUGUUUUCUAUUAAGCCAGACAUUAAAGCAACUUAUAAAAAUGUGAAACGAUGCCACUCUUCUCACUAAUAUUUUCAUUGAAAGUAUCUUAUUUAUAUUAUUAUAUAAAGGGCUUAUUUUAAUAAAGAAAUAAAUUCUUAAAAUCUUUCUUAACUUUAAUUUCUAGUACAAUAAACAUUAGCUAUUAAUAUAACCCAUGUAAACAAAAGCUCUUUGGAGUCCUCAAUAAUUUUUAAAGAGUAUUCAUGGGUCCUGAGACCAAAAUGUUUGAAAAUCAUUUCCUUGACCUUGGUUUGAUUCCUUUCUAAAAAAUCACCAAAUCUAAAAAUAUGAACUACAUAGUUGAACCUGUAAGUCAACAAUCAAUUGUACUGUUUAAGAAAAUCUUACUAACAGGUAUGGAUUGGGGAUUUUUUUGAAGCCUCUCU